ACGGAAUUGAGAAGAAGCCCGGGCUGGUAGCGGAACCAAGGGGACGACAGAUGGGAUGAUGGCGGGGGGCGGCGGGCACGGGAGGGCAUCGAGCGCGAAGACAAGAUGCCCUCCCCCAGCUGCGCUACCCUGACGAGCGCCCUGGUCAGCACAGCUCCCCACGCUGGGCGCCCAUCCGCACCCCCCACCGCCAACGUUUUCCCCUUCUCCUCCCUCUAGCCGCCGCCGCCGCCGCCACUGCCGCCGUAGCACGAAGGACCUUCUUUACUUCCCAUCCUUUCACCCCCCCAACACCUACUCUGCUCCCCCCCCCUCUUCCUUCUUCAUCGUCGUGGUGGUCCUGAGUUUUGGAUGAGAUCGACGUAUCCUGGUGUUCUUUCAGUUAUAGUCGUAUGUGUAUACAAUCUCAUGUCAUUGACUUUGUUUACAUCUCCAUCAUGGUCAGGUUGGUCAAGGCCCGGGAGUGUCAGCAUCAUGGUCGGAUCGCCACCUCGCUGGCAGCCCCCGGAUGAGUGAGUGCCCCCAAGAACACCCCGAAAGCUCAGGCCAACUAAGUCAACAGAGGCCACAUGAUUCCUGAAUACGCAUGCAGGCGAAACCUGCCGACCAGUGAAGACCUGGGUCGAAUAAUGCUCCUGAAGAGAGCGUCCGAUUCCCACUUUGGGAAACAAGGGAGGGUCUGUGCUUGGCGGCGAUCUUUCGGAGUCUCUUCUUAGAGCCCAUUUUUCUAGCCCGUCUGCUUCAAGGUUCGUCUCAAGAACGAGGGCUUUGGAAUGAGAAGGAGAGGGGCCAUUAAGUCAUCGCCUGCCCGCAAGGCCCAACCCCCACCCAAGUCCAGCCCAGCCCAGAGGGGUCCUCGGUUGCUCAGGGAAGGAACAAGUGAUCUGGAG
rnacentral:lncRNA from 1 species